CUUUUUUCUUUUUAAAGAAUAUUUGCUCAAAGUUGUUUAACACAUCAAAAUUUUAAUAACAGUUAAUUCAUCACAAUUAGCUUCUCAUUAUAACAAAAUCUGUGUUUUUCAUGAAGUCAAACAGAAAAUGAGAAGAACUUGACAAGAAUUCGCCUUCCGAAGGAUGCUCGAAUCCUGAAUCUACAAUGGCUCGAAGAAGCUCCGGCUUUAGAAGGAAAUCUCUGAAUCCUGAGCUGUGAAUUCCAACAUAGCCCCUACAUAACAGAGGAAACAAAGAAUGAAGACAUGGAGAAUGCUAUCAAAAGCAAUCUCAAGAUAGAAAGCUCAAUCAAUAGCAAGCCAAAAUGGGCAUGACAGACGAGUUUGAAGCUUCUUUACAAGUACUAUGGGGAUUUGAUACUGAAAUUUCUUUUGAAGUGAAUGAAAUCAAGAGAUCUGUAACUUCCACAAGCAGGAGAACAACCAUCUGAUUUUCUGAUCUCAAGCAAAGAAGAUAUUAGUUUCCAUUCCAUGAUAUAUGUUCAUCGAGUUGAAGGAGGCAGAGGUUCUGAAGAAACAGCUACAAAAGAAUGAAGAUUUUGGAUUUUGGGGGCAUUUGACAAAAAAAAAAAAAAAGAAAGAAAAAGAG